rnacentral:lncRNA from 1 species
AAAAAAUCCCUACCAGAAAACAAAAAAGAUCAAUUGGGCCUGAUCUUGAAUAACCCGUAAUUAACCACCCGUCAAACCCGUACCCGUCAGACCCGAACCCGUUAGAUCCGAGGCCCAAAUAUGGUUCGGUGUGGGCUGUCUUUCUCCACCCGUGGAUUGGGCUGGUUUGACGUUUUGGGCCCAUACCGACCCAAACCGACCCGUUGUCCACCCCUA